UACGAAGGGGGCUAGCGUUGCUCGGAAUCACCGGGCGUAAAGGGUGCGUAGGCGGGUCUUUAAGUCAGGGGUGAAAUCCUGGAGCUCAACUCCAGAACUGCCUUUGAUACUGAAGAUCUUGAGUUCGGGAGAGGUGAGUGGAACUGCGAGUGUAGAGGUGAAAUUCGUAGAUAUUCGCAAGAACACCAGUGGCGAAGGCGGCUCACUGGCCCGAUACUGACGCUGAGGCACGAAAGCGUGGGGAGCAAACAGG
rnacentral:rRNA from 1 species